GAGUAGUACUCUCCUGAAUCACUGUUACAGAUGAAACUGAAUCUGAGCCAUUAUCCAGUUGACUGGGAAGGUCAAUU
rnacentral:sRNA from 1 species